rnacentral:lncRNA from 1 species
AUAUAUUCUAAUCUCCAUUGCUUAAUCAAAUUGAGUUAAUUAAUAAUUAUAUUACUAAUUAAUUAUUUUUAAUUUAUCAAGUAUUAGUAAAUAAUUUAUUACAAUCUUUGCAUAGGAUUAAUCAUCAAUCAAAUUGAUAAUUAAAUCCUUCAAUGAUUCAUAAUCAUCGAUCAGCCAUUUCAUCAGACAGGUACUUCUAUAUGUAUGACCCCAUAGGUUCGAACCU